CGAGCAAUCUGCCCUUCUCAUCGGAAUAAGCGUUGGAAACGACGUCUAAUGCCGAAUACGACCUCCUUUCGCAUGAUCGGAGGUGGAAAGCUCCGGCGGAGAAGGAUGAGCUCGCGACCUAUCAGCUAGUUGGUGUGGGUAAUGGCCCACCAAGGCGACGACGGGUAGCCGGCCUGAGAGGGUGACCGGCCACACUGGGACUGAGACACGGCCAGACUCCGUACGGGAGCAG
rnacentral:rRNA from 1 species